rnacentral:rRNA from 1 species
UACGUAGGGUGCAAGCGUUGUCCGGAAUUAUUGGGCGUAAAGAGCUCGUAGGCGGCUUGUCGCGUCGAAUGUGAAAACUCGGGGCUCAACUCCGAGCUUGCAUUCGAUACGGGCAGGCUAGAGUUCGGUAGGGGAGACUGGAAUUCCUGGUGUAGCGGUGGAAUGCGCAGAUAUCAGGAGGAACACCGAUGGCGAAGGCAGGAUCUCCUGGGCCAAUUACUGACACUGAGAAGCGAAAAGCAUGGGGGAGCGAAACAGG